rnacentral:rRNA from 1 species
CCUACGGGAGGCAGCAGUGAGGAAUAUUGGGCAAUGGUCGGAAGACUGACCCAGCCAUGCCGCGUGCAGGAAGACGGCCCUAUGGGUUGUAAACUGCUUUUGUACGGGAAGAAACCCUCCUACGUGUAGGAGCUUGACGGUACCGUAAGAAUAAGCAUCGGCUAACUCCGUGCCAGCAGCCGCGGUAAU